AGGGUCGGCCGGGCGGUCACGGGUGCGCUAGACGCGUCUGAGGAAAGUCCGCGCUCCGAAGGGCGGCGUGCCGGGUAACGUCCGGUUCGGGUGACCGAGGGAAGAGGGCCACAGAGAAUGAGAUUGCCCGCAGUUAUAGAUAAUGCGGGUAAGGGUGAAAAGGUGCGGUAAGAGCGCACCGCGUUCGCCGUAAGGUGGAUGGCAGGCCAAACCCCGCACGGAGCAAGACCAAAUAGGGAAGCGCUAUCAGGACGGCCCGUCCGAAGCUUCCGGGUAGGUCGCUCGACCCUGCCAGUAAUGGCGGGGCUAGAGGAAUGGUCGUCACCCGGUUCUGCGCCUUCGGGCGAAGCGUCGGGAACAGAAUUCGGCUUAUCGUUUCUCUAC
rnacentral:RNase_P_RNA from 1 species